rnacentral:rRNA from 1 species
GGGGAAUAUUGGACAAUGGGCGCAAGCCUGAUCCAGCCAUACCGCGUGGGUGAAGAAGGCCUUCGGGUUGUAAAGCCCUUUUGUUGGGAAAGAAAUCCAGCCGGCUAAUACCUGGUUGGGAUGACGGUACCCAAAGAAUAAGCACCGGCUAACUUCGUGCCAGCAGCCGCGGUAAUACGAAGGGUGCAAGCGUUACUCGGAAUUACUGGGCGUAAAGCGUGCGUAGGUGGUCGUUUAAGUCCGUUGUGAAAGCCCUGGGCUCAACCUGGGAACUGCACUGGAUACUGGGAAGCUCGGGGACCGGAGAGGAGGGUGGAAUUCCUGGUGUAGCGGUGAAAUGCGUAGAUAUCAGGAGGAACACCUGUGGCGAAGGCGGCCCUCUGGACGGAUACUGACGCUGAGACGCGAAAGCGUGGGGAGCAAACA